rnacentral:rRNA from 1 species
CCUUACCAGGCCUUGACAUGCAGAGAAAUUUCCAGAGAUGGAUUGGUGCCUUCGGGAAAUCUGACACAGGUGCUGCAUGGCGGUCGUCAGCUCGUGUCGUGAGAUGUUGGGUUAAGUCCCGCAACGAGCGCAACCCUUGUCCUUAGUUACCAGCACGUUAAGGUGGGCACUCUAAGGAGACUGCCGGUGACAAACCGGAGGAAGGUGGGGAUGACGUCAAGUCAUCAUGGCCCUUACGGCCAGGGCUACACACGUGCUACAAUGGUCGGUACAAAGGGUUGCCAAGCCGCGAGGUGGAGCUAAUCCCAUAAAACCGAUCGUAGUCCGGAUCGCAGUCUGCAACUCGACUGCGUGAAGUCGGAAUCGC